rnacentral:rRNA from 1 species
UACGGGGGGGGCAAGCGUUGUUCGGAAUUACUGGGCGUAAAGGGUUCGUAGGUGGCCAACUAAGUCAGACGUGAAAUCCCUCAGCUUAACUGGGGAACUGCGUCUGAGACUGGAUGGCUUGAGUGCAGGAGAGGAACGCGGAAUUCCAGGUGUAGCGGUGAAAUGCGUAGAUAUCUGGAGGAAUACCGGUGGCGAAGGCGGCAUCCUGGACCGGGAUUGACACUGAGGAGCGAAAGCUAGGGGAGCAAACGGG